UUCAGUACAUGGAAGGGAGAAUGUGUUUCUUUCUGCAGUUUUCAGGUAGCUCAAAUAGAAUCCCUGCUGAAAGACACCUGGGGAGUCAUCUGCUUUUAUCUGUCCAUUUUGCAGGCCCCGACCCUCUCUCUUCUCUUUGUCUUCUGCAUCCUGUGCUCCUGGCGCCUCCUUGUGGCUAAAAAUAUCAACUGCAGCCAUGACUACACUCGACAUGAUCCCAGGAAAAUCUCGGACAUCAUAGACUGCAGAGAUUGAGGGACCCUUAGAAAUUAUUUUACAUUUUCCCCUGUGGCGAGACUGACCUGAGCCAAUAUGACAACCCAAGAAUCCUGAUUUCCAGACCAGUUCCUCAAAUGGGCUGCCGUUGACUAAAUAUUUGAAUAAUAGUGAUGAGUAUGAUUCAGGGAAGGAAAUGACCCAAUCAAUCACUAAUUGUUUUUAGGGCCAAAAGCAUGAACUAAAUAAAAGUCAUUAUAGUUUCGUG